AUACGUAUGGGGGCAAGCGUUACCCGGAUUUAUUGGGCGUAAAGCGCGCGUAGGCGGCUUGUUAAGUCAGGUGUGAAAUCCGGGGGCUCAACCCGCGGCUUGCAUCUGAAACUGGCAGGCUUGAGUCUGGUAGAGGAAAGUGGAAUUCCUGGUGUAGCGGUGAAAUGCGCAGAUAUCAGGAGGAACACCAGUGGCGAAGGCGGCUUUCUGGGCCACGACUGACGCUGAGGCGCGAGAGCUAGGGGAGC
rnacentral:rRNA from 1 species